UACGAAGGGUGCAAGCGUUGCUCGGAAUUAUUGGGCGUAAAGCGCACGUAGGCGGUAUUGCAAGUCGGAUGUGAAAUCCCUCGGCUCAACCAAGGAAGUGCAUCCGAAACUGCCGUACUUGAGUACUAAAGAGGAUCGCGGAAUUCCCGGUGUAGAGGUGAAAUUCGUAGAUAUCGGGAGGAACACCAGUGGCGAAGGCGGCGAUCUGGGUAGAUACUGACGCUGAGGUGCGAAAGCGUGGGGAGCAAACGGG
rnacentral:rRNA from 1 species